ACGAACGCCGGCGGCGUGCUUAACACAUGCAAGUCGCACGGAAAGGCCCUGCUUUUGUGGGGUGCUCGAGUGGCGAACGGGUGAGUAACACGUGAGUAACCUGCCCUUGACUUUGGGAUAACUUCAGGAAACUGGGGCUAAUACCGGAUAGGAGCUCCUGCUGCAUGGUGGGGGUUGGAAAGUUUCGGCGGUUGGGGAUGGACUCGCGGCUUAUCAGCUUGUUGGUGGGGUAGUGGCUUACCAAGGCUUUGACGGGUAGCCGGCCUGAGAGGGUGACCGGCCACAUUGGGACUGAGAUACGGCCCAGACUCCUACGGGAGGCAGCAGUGGGGAAUAUUGCACAAUGGGCGGAAGCCUGAUGCAGCAACGCCGCGUGCGGGAUGACGGCCUUCGGGUUGUAAACCGCUUUCGCCUGUGACGAAGCGUGAGUGACGGUAAUGGGUAAAGAAGCACCGGCUAACUACGUG
rnacentral:rRNA from 1 species